GGCUGCAGGGCAGGAGGAAACAGAAACCAGCUGAGGUUUUACUUUCAGUUCUGCCAGAGAAAAUUCAAGGUAGACAGAGCGAGCUGUGGGGCAGGAGGCUGCUCUGGUCCCCUCUUAGCUUGGAACACACACCAGCACCAGCAGCCAGGCCAACUGGGAGCCCCAGGCCAGCCCUACGUGAGCCCUGGGGCCGGACAGCUCAGAGAUGGGGAGUGAUCUGGGCUGGCCCCCGGAUGGGAGUCCAUCUAGAGGCGGCUGAGCUGAAUUCAUGUUGAGCCAAUGGUGCACCAGCACGGGGGCUCCCCUACUAUGAGCUGAAAUCACUGAGUGCUGUGUUAACUAGUGGGGGAGUCUGAAGACCUAUCGCUAAGUGGCUGGCAGAGCGGAGCAGUUUGCAGCAUGUUGGAGCAGCCCAUGGAACAGUGAGCGGAGUGGAGCGGUUUGCAGGGACAGCUGGAGUGGCUCACGGAUCGGCUGGAGGAGCGGCACAGCUGGUGUAGUGGAGCUGGUCGUGGUGAAGGCUGCAGCAGAGCUCCACGGAGAGGCAGAGCAGUUGGUCCUGGCCCACGUAAGAUGCCCCUUAACACCCUGUGUGGGCCCCACCCCCAUUUCCAUCCAGGCUGGGGGGGUAAAACUCUGCAGGCAAACUUUUGAACUCUGGGGUGGCACUGACCAGAGACUUUCGGAUUGUUGAAGUUUGGGGUGAUUGAACUUAAGACCCUAAGAGGGAAAGGACAUUGCCAAACGUACUUGGAGGUGGGGUUUUGCUUAUGGUUUUUGUUAUAAUCCUGUUUGUGGUGUUUCUCCAAUGUGAUGCUGCAUUGUUUCCCUCCAUUAUUAAAAGGAUUUCGCUACA